rnacentral:rRNA from 1 species
CCCUCGUAUUUAAUAAAUGGUAUAAUUAGUAUGAAUGGAAUUUAAUAAUUUUGGCGGUUAAUUAUUAAUUAGAGGAGCUUGUAUUAAGUAGAAUUAGCUCUUUAUAUUUAACUAAUAAAUGAUUUAUUCAUCUCCGUUGUAAGUUUUAAGGAAUGUAAUAAUUAAAUUUUCAUAAGAUUUCAGGUCAAGAUGUAGUUUUUAUUUACGAGUAUUAGCUACAUUUAUAUAAUUAUGGAUUUUUGAAUUAGGGUAAUUAAUGAGAAAUUGGAUUUAAUUGUAAUUAUAUUUAGCAUGAUAUGGUGAAUGGGGUUAAUUGAUGUACAUAUUGCCCGUCACUUCUAUUUUAAGGG